GAAGGAGGUGUUUUCUCAAAUGGGAAACUGUGUCAUUCCCCCCGUUUUGUAAGACCGACUGAAGAGCCAUGUCACGAAUGUUCGGAGGUCUUAAAGCACAUAUCGAUCAAUCGCUGUUCGUCAGUUACAGUGUGUGAGUGUGGUGGAGCGGGUCUGCAGGGACGAGGAGGAGGAGGAAGAGGAGAAGAAGCGUGUUACCGCCUCUUCUCACAGGAGAAACACUGAAGGUUUUCCACUGUUUGCACAAGACCAACAACACAGGGCGAGGGCAGCAUGUGGACGCUGGCUCUUCAGUUGGUUUUUACUGGUUUACACAUACAGGUCACAACAUGCUACCCUUCAUGCACUUUAUAUGGCCUUGUAGCUGCUUGCGCCUCACAGCACCACUACUGGGUCCCUGCUCUGCCUUGUAACAUCACCCACCUCUACCUGGAGAGGAACUACAUCAGUGAGAUCAACAGCACCUCACUCAGAGACUAUGACCAGCUGCAACAAUUGGAUCUUGGAAUGCAGAAUGUACAGCUUAUCAUUAGGAACAAUGCUUUCCUCAGGCAGAGAAAACUGACACGGUUGGUUCUAGGUUACAAUAUUGGUCUUCAGCUGGAGCCAAGGGCAUUUGCAGGACUGUUCAAUUUACAACAUUUCUUUUUGGAUAAGUGCAGUUUGAAUGACUCCAUACUAUCGGAAAGCUAUCUGCAGCAUCUUUUCUCCUUAGAGUUGCUUGAUCUCUCUUAUAAUGAACUAGCGAGACUCCGACCUGGACUGUUCUUUUCAAAACUCACAAGGUUCACAAAGUUAAACCUCAAACUGAAUCAGAUUAGAGGUUUAUGUGAAGAAGAUCUUGUUGGUUUCAGAGGGAAAUACUUCACAUAUAUGAACUUGACCUCCAACCUCUUUGGUAGAAUGUAUGAAGGAAAUUUUGACUGGGAAACGUGCGGAAACCCUUUCAGAGGGAUGGCCUUUAAUAUCCUUGACCUAUCCAGCUAUGGCUUCAACAUCAUCACAACAAGAAAUUUUUUCAACGCAAUACAGGGGACUCAGAUCGAUCAUCUUAUAUUCUCUGGACACUUGGGUAAAGGCUUUUCAUAUGACAGAUUACCUGAUCCAGAUGAAACCACAUUUGAAGGCCUCAUGAACAGUAAAAUUAAACAUUUUGAUCUGUCUAACAGCUAUAUAUUUGCUUUACAGAGGGCUGUUUUUAGUUCCCUAAAGGCUGCAAUAAUUAUUGACAUUUCUGGAAACAAAAUCAAUCAAAUUGAAAGAAAUGCCUUCAGUGGUCUUCAGGGACAUUUACGGUUGCUCAACCUAUCGUCCAACCUGCUAGGAGAAAUAGCUUCUCACACAUUCACCAAUCUAACAGACCUUAGGGUGUUGGAUUUGUCUUACAACCAUAUUGGUGUAUUGGGACACAAAGCUUUCAGUGGCCUUCCCAGAUUACGAGCAUUAUAUCUAACAGGAAACUCACUGCGAAUCCUGGGUUCUCCUGCAUCAUUACCAAACUUAGAUUACCUCCUUUUGAAUGACAACAAAUUGACAUCACUGUAUCACAUCACUGACAUGGGUAUGAACAGCCUCCAUGUGGAUGUUAGUGACAACAGAUUAACAAACCUAAAGGAUGUUCAUCUCAUAGUGACUAAUUUCAAGCGUCUCCAGAAUUUUUUCUACAGUGGAAACCACAUGAAGUGGUGCACACUGGAUCAGAAUAUUAGAAUACACUAUAAUAAUAGUUUGCAAGUACUUGAUCUUCAUGACAGUUCUCUUCAAAUAAUCUGGGAACAGGGGAAAUGCUUUGACUUGUUUGAUCAUCUUGAGAAUCUUCUCAGUCUCAGUAUAAACUUUAACUCACUCACCACUCUCCCACAAGGGAUUUUCAGAGGUCUCAGCUCAAUCAUAGAGCUUGACCUCUCACAUAAUUCCCUGACCUAUCUGCAGCCAGGUGUAUUUCCAGUCAGCUUGAAAAAGCUCGACCUGUCAAACAACUACCUAGCCUCCCCAGAUCCUAUGACUUUUCAGUCUCUCAUCUUCCUUGAUCUGGCAGCAAAUCGGUUUCACUGUGAUUGCAGUCUGGAGAAAUUCUUGAAGUGGCUGAAUGAGACAAAUGUAACCUUUCUUAGUCCAACUGAGGAUUUUAUAUGUGAGUUUCCAGCUGCUCUGCAUAACCUUCCUCUGCUGAAUUACACCACGAGUACUGAACCGUGUGAGGAGGAUGAUGAAAAGGCUGUUCAUGGUCUUAAGUUUGCUCUCUUCAUCUUCACUGCUCUCCUCGUCAUUGCUGUCAUCCUCAGUGGGAUUGUUUACGCCCGUUUCCGAGGGCAUGUAUUCAUCAUCUACAAAAAAAUUAUUGGCAGGGUUCUUGAGGGCCCGAAACCGGUGGCUCUUUUGGAAGAGGUGCCAUACGAUGUCUUCCUCUGCUUCAGCAACAGUGACUAUAGGUGGGUGGAAGCUGUUUUGCUGAAUAAGCUUGAUAACCAGUUUUCAGAGGAGAACAUCUUCCACUGUUGUUUUGAGGCCAGAGACUUUCUGCCAGGUGAGGAUCACCUUUCAAACAUCAGAGAAGCAAUCUGGGGCAGCAGGAAGACUGUGUGUAUCAUCUCCAAGGAGUUCCUUAAAGACGGCUGGUGCUUGGAAGCAUUCACUUUGGCACAGUGCCGAAUGCUGGAGGAGCUGACAAACAUCUUGAUUAUAUUGGUGGUAGGGAAGGUGGCUCACUACCAGCUGAUGAAGUACAAUGCAAUCAGAGCUUUCAUUCGGAGGAGAGCAUACCUCAUCUGGCCAGAGGACCCUCAGGACCAGGAGUGGUUUUAUGAGCAACUGAUCUCACAGAUCCUCAAAGACACCAAAGUGAAAAAGUUUCCAGAGGACAAACCUCAGCCUGCACAGCAUAACAUCCAACCUCAAUAUGAGGACAGUGUUCAGCUGGAGAACAUCAGGACAAUUGCCAUGUGAACUCUGACUGUACAUUAAAGAAAUCCUACUUUAACCAGGAUAACCUCCUGAUACUAGCCUCCAUGAUGCCAAGUGUCACUGGGAAGCUUGUACUCAGCAAGGUGAGAAAGAGGUUGUCAUUGUAAGCAUGUAUAGCACUCCAUGUUGAUGAUUAUGUUUUUGGAAUUAGUAGAAAGAAAAUGUUAACUGUGUGUGUCAAGUCUUUAUAAAAUACAGCACUGUUCACACUGAUAGCUUGCAGGAUGAAACAAAUCCCCAGCAAAGCUUUGAAAUUUAGAGAGAAAAAGUUUUUUUUUUUUUUUAAUCACUGCAGGUGAUGAAUAAGUGCAGCUCCAGACAGACCUGAACAUGGAUGUGUUAAAAAGACACUGGCUAAUUUGAUUUGUUAAUAUGUUAAGAGUAGCCAUUGAUGUCCAGUAUAUGAGAUUGUAUGUAAAUUUACAUGAAUAAGCCUUUAAAAAUAGAGACUGUUCUUCAUGGAGUGAUGUCAUUUGAUUUGUGAAUACUUGCCUGACACAAUAAGAUAAUAUAAAACAAAAUUUCUAAAUGGU